GGUGGAUUUCAGAGAUAAGGUAAAGGUAAUGUUUUUCUGUGAUCGUAGGAUUUCUCCUAACUGUUGGGAUUUCGUACAUGAGUUGAUGCUGAGCACGUAUAGAUAUACGGAUGACAUCUAGAUGCUUUGAACGACAGUUGGCAAAACUAUAGGAACGGCAGCUAGUUUGUUAAGCGUAGCCGAGCGUACGCACGCGCCGCCGCCGCGGCAGCCGCGUCAUGUCCAACGUUGCGGCAGUGAAG